rnacentral:rRNA from 1 species
ACGGAAGGCAGCGGUGAGGAAUAUUGGUCAAUGGGCGGAAGCCUGAACCAGCCAUGUCGCGUGCAGGACUACGGCCCUACGGGUCUUAAACUGCUUUUGCAAGGGGAUAAAGUGGGGCACGUGUGCCCCUUUGCAGGUACCUUGCGAAUAAGGAUCGGCUAACUCCGUGCCAGCAGCCGCGGUAAUACGGAGGAUCCGAGCGUUAUCCGGAUUUAUUGGGUUUAAAGGGUGCGUAGGCGGGCUGUUAAGUCAGCGGUGAAAGCCCCGGGCUCAACCCGGGGACUGCCAUUGAAACUGGCGGCCUUGAGUACGUUGGGAGUGCGCGGAAUGUGUGGUGUAGCGGUGAAAUGCAUAGAGAUCACACAGAACACCGAUCGCGUAGGCAGCGCACUAAGCCGCAACUGACGCUGAGGCACGAAGGCGCGGGGAUCGAACAGGAUUAGAUACCCUGGUA